CAAGGAGAUCGGGUUUCGCUCCGAGACCGCGGUCGGAGGCAGGCAGACGGUCUGACGUCAGCGCUAGACGGGGCUGCCGGUUCCCACCGCGCGGGGGCCGGGGAGGGGGCGCGCGCUGCGCCAAUCCCCGCCGAGGUUCCCCCGCACCCCCUCCCCGAGCCGGGGGGCGGGGUGACGGGAAACGGGGCGGGCUCUUAAAGGGCCAGAGCUAGGCGGCCCACGUAGACCCGGCACCCGCGCAACGGAGGAGGGGCGCUGUGCCCUCUCCCCAACGGCGGUCAGCUUGGAACGCCUGCCCGGCGCACGCCCGGGGCCGGGGAGCCGAACUCGGUGCCAGCCGCACCCGGGCGGGUUGCUGGUGCGCCCUCCCCUCGCCCCCGUCCCUGGGGUCCUUGACCCAGGCUCUUGGGGCUAGCCUAUCUUCUGAGGAGCACAAGGUCCCUGGGGGCUCAGGGAAGAGAAAUUGGAGAAAGGGGGAGGAAGCCCCCAAGAUGGAUCACCCAUUGCCUGGUUUCGCAGGAGACUGUCCGCCUUCAGUUCUCCAGCAGCUCGGGGAUCAUGGCCCACUGAACCCCCAAGCGCUUUCACCCGAACCCAAGGAGGACGACCAGGAAAGACGGGAACUCGCGUAGACACGCCCGGAAGCCCUUGUCAUGCACUUAAGGAGCACCUACCUGUGCCAGAAACUCUCCAAAUAUUAACUCAACCUGACACCGACUCAGUGUGGCCGAAUAUUACUCUCCCCAUUUUACAGAGCGGGCAGCUGGUCAAGGAAGUCGCUUGUUGAAAGUCACACAGUGGUGGAGCCUGUGUGCCAACCCAGGACCCUGGGGAGCUGCCUCCCCCUCUCCCACGUAGUCCUGAUUCUUUAAGUGUCCACAUAUUCCUGUAAUGCCUGGAGUUUCAGUAAUUAGCAGGGACUUAGUGUGUUCAGAGAAAAAAAAAGCUUUUAAAAAUUAUUGUUACUGUGUUUGUAACAGUUUGGAUAGAGAAGGAAAAGCUGGAAUUUGGGAAGUGAAGGUGGCCUCGGGGUAGAACUUACCUAGACCAGAGCGAAUUCAUCCUGAAGAACUCAGAGAAAGCCGGUGCAGGAAGUGGGUUCCCGCUCUCCCUGCACAGGCACAGUGAUGCUGCCAGAGCUCUCCCAGAAAGACCAGGAGGCUUGUUCUGGAGAAGUCAAGCCCAGGGAUGUGGCUCAGGCUGGUCCAAGCUCUUUGGAGGAGUCCAAGCGUGCCCAGCCCAGAGGGAGGUUCAGAGGCACUGACCGUCUUCUGUUUGGGAGGAGAAGCUCACUCUUGGAGCCACAGCCAGCACUAGGUCAGGACCCAGGCCCCGGCCCAGGAGUGGGGCAAUACCCAGCGUCUACCCCAGAUGGCACCCUGCUGUGAACUGGGCGCCCUCAGCCCCUGCCUUGAGGAAGGGGCAAUACCACCAGCGUGUCUUUUAUCAGGGAAGAUAUUGCUGCAGUUUGGCCGCUGCAACUUAAGAGAAAAGCUAAGGGGUCCCCCAGCAUCCCUUGGGGUGCCACUGCAAAUACUGGCUGGGCCUGGAGAUGACCUGGGUCCCAUUCACUUCCUAGGGUGAAGGAGGUCAUCAUUACCACCCCUGCUUUCAGCCAUUUCUUCAUUCAUUCAAUCAACAAACUGGCUGAGCUGCAACCCUGAGCCGGGGAAUUCAGCCACUCCAGACACAGCCCCUGCCCUCCGGGAAGUCUCGGGAGACCUGGCUAGUCUGGCUGGGAGAAGUCACACGUUGAUUGUCUUGGAAGUGAGAUGGCAUUUACACAAUGGAGGCUGCACUGCCAGCAGGCAAAAAUAACCAGUUAAUUCAGUGGCUUAAAGAAACCAAACCUACCCACAACGCUUGACCUCCCAUUGAUCCAUCUGCGACACCGGCAGUGGCUACCAUUUAUUGAGUGCUGAUGGUGUCACCUGGGAUUGACUUAGUGGUCUCUGGCGCUAGUUCCGAAGUUGAUUCUGUCUGGAGAGCUUAAUGCAGUGUUCAGACCUCAGGGUCCGAACCUGAGGGUCACCCAAAGAUGAGUGGGACAUAGCUGUGUGACCUCGGCUGAGUGCUUUCACCUCUCCAACCUCAGUUUCCUCUUCUGCAAAAUGGGGUGGCUUCAUGGCACCUUCACGUGGUGUGAUUGCGAGGAAUGAAGGGAUCGAUGCCUUGCAAGUAGAGGAGAAGGGGCCGGAUACAUCUUAGUUGUUAUGUUAUUUAAUCAUCUUGGCAACCCCGGGAGGGAGGAACCACUAUCAUUUUAUUUUCCAUUUUGCAGUUGAGGACAAUGAUGAUUCCAGCACAGACAGGGCCCCUGACGGGGCAGUAGGAAAGGAGAAUUGCUUUGGAAGGAGCAUAGGCUGGACUGCCAGCACUCAUAGGAGGCUUCGUGUGUGCCCAGGACUGCGAGAAUUAAAUACAGGACACCCAGUUCAGUUUGAAUUUCAGAUAAACUAUGAAUAAUGAUUAGUUGUCUGGUCUAGGGACAAAUGCUGAGACGUCUGCAAGGCCAUCUAGAACGCCAGGAAGGCACUGUGGGAACCCAGAGGAACAGGGCACGACGGUGCCCAACAGUCCCAGGAAAACACUCUGUGCCCUUCACCUACAUCUCCAUGCCAGGGUUGGAGACAGGGUCCUGUCCCAUCUGCACAUGGAGCCCUCCGGACGGGUGAAUCUGUCGUCAGUUUGGGGCUUGGGAAUCGGUGUCCAAGAGCUGGCUUCAAAGGCAAUGAAACUGGCAUUGCAUCUUUGAAGGCAGCACAGGCUACAUCUGUCUUAUUCUCCGUGUCCACAGCCCCUAGCAGUGACUGGCAUGUGGUCACGCCCAAUAAAUAUUUGCUGAAUGAAUGAACGCAAAACAAUUUGCAAUGUGGACUAGUCCCUUAAAGUAUGUGUAUCUGCAACCGGUAAGUCUACCACAUAUCUUAAGGAAAUAAUCAGAGAAGUGAACAGUUUUAAGGAGAAGAACGUUGAUCCUAUCUUCAUUCGUAAAAGCAAAAGUGCAAUGAAAUUAAAAACAAAUAGAAGAUGCGUAAAUAAAAGGCAGUGAUCAUAAAACUGUUCAAAACCUUGUUUUCAAAAAUUAUCUGAUGAUAUAAAGUCCCAUAUAAACUAAAUUUAAAAAUAGGCUGCAGAACCGAUCUCAACUUUUUACAAAAAUAUUAUUAGAAAAAGGAUUAAAAUGAUAUUUGCCAAAAUAUUAACAGUGGUCAGCUUUGUGCAAU
rnacentral:lncRNA from 1 species